GGGGCGGUGGUGUAGAGAAACACAGCGGCUUGCUACCUUUCGCAUGGGCCGAAGAUGCAGGUUCGACGCCUGCCCGCUCCACCA
rnacentral:tRNA from 1 species